rnacentral:rRNA from 1 species
UACGGGGGGGGCAAGCGUUGUUCGGAAUUACUGGGCGUAAAGGGCCAGUAGGCGGCCAACUAAGUCCGACGUGAAAUCCCAAGGCUUAACCUUGGAACUGCGUCGGAUACUGGAUGGCUUGAAUUCGGGAGAGGGAUGCAGAAUUCCAGGUGUAGCGGUGAAAUGCGUAGAUAUCAGGAGGAAUACCGGUGGCGAAAGCGACUCUCUGGACGGCAACUGACGCUGAGGCACGAAAGCGUGGGGAGCAAACAGG